UGUGGGGAAAGGUCUGUCUUCUGGACCUUCUGGUGGGUGAGGAGGUCUUAAGUGACAAACCUACCCUAGCCUUACAAUCUCCCUAGGCCUUUGCAUCCCUUCCUCCACAGUAAACCAAGCCAGGUCUGGCAUUUCCAGUUUAACGUGGCCCCUUUUCUGUCUAUGUUGCAGCCAACGGAGCAGCCGGUGGUUAGCACCCUGCUAACUCCCUGAACCACACCUCGAAAGGCAAACUGUCUGCUUGGUGGGCACCUGCGGCACGUCCAGCGUGACCCCUUCAUGGUCCUCCCACACCCCUGGACUGCAUUUCUGUCUGUGCGGGACGGACACGCCGCACUGCUCUUGCCAUGGAGGUCACCUCCGUGGUUCUCACUCAGCCUCCGGCUCUGGGGCCUGCUGGACUCGAGUCAGCACCUGGGACCCCGUCAGUGAGGAUCAAACCCUUGUUCUUACGCACGUGUUUUUAGGGAGAUUCUACGAGUCUAAAAUGAUUUCAUGAUAAGAAGUCUGUGAUGAUGGCCGUUAUGGAAAACAGCAUGGAGAUUCCCAAAAAACUGAAAACAGAACCACCACGUAAUCCAGCUGUCCCACUCCCGGGCGUGACACGCGGAGGCCACAUCAGUACGCAGAAGAGACACCCGCACCCCAUGUUCGCCGCAGCGCUGUCCACUACGGCCAGACAUGGAACCAGCCUCAGCGUCCAGCAGCCAAGGAAGGUGAAUCCACGUCAGAGAACUGUUCCUCCACAGAAGAGGGAAUGUGUCAUUGGUGCCGACAUGGAUGAACUGCAGGACUUUAUGCUGAAUGAAGGAAACCAGGCCCAGAAAGACAGACACUGCAUGAUCUCACACAUAAGUGGAGCCUAGAAAAGUUGAACUCACAGAAGCAGAGAGAGGACCCAGGGACAUAGGGGCUGGGAACUGGGGAGGGGUUGGUCCAAGAGUACAAAGUUUCUGUUACAGACCGUGCACAGUGGCUCACGCCUGUAAUCCCAGCACUUUGGGAGGCAGAGGCAGGCAGAUCACCUGAGGUUAGGAGUUCGAGACCAGCCUGGCCAACAUGAUGAGACCCCCCCCCCCGUCUCUACUGAAAAUACAAAAAUUAGGCCAGGCAUGGUGGCUCAUGCCUGUAAUCCCAGCACUUUGGGAUGC
rnacentral:lncRNA from 1 species